rnacentral:rRNA from 1 species
GACGAACGCUGGCGGCGUGCUUAACACAUGCCAGUCGAACGGAAAGGCCCUGCUUGCAGGGUACUCGAGUGGCGAACGGGUGAGUAACACGUGGGUGAUCUGCCCUGCACUUCGGGAUAAGCUUGGGAAACUGGGUCUAAUACCGGAUAGGAACCAUCUUUAGUGUGGUGGUUGGAAAGUUUUUUCGGUGUAGGAUGAGCUCGCGGCCUAUCAGCUUGUUGGUGGGGUAAUGGCCUACCAAGGCGGCGACGGGUAGCCGGCCUGAGAGGGUGUACGGCCACAUUGGGACUGAGAUACGGCCCAGACUCCUACGGGAGGCAGCAGUGGGGAAUAUUGCACAAUGGGCGCAAGCCUGAUGCAGCGACGCCGCGUGGGGGAUGAAGGCCUUCGGGUUGUAAACUCCUUUCGCUAGGGACGAAGCUUUGUUGUGACGGUACCUAGAGAAGAAGCACCGGCUAACUACGUG